AAGGCCUUAGUUUAAUGAAAACAUUUGAUUUGCAAUUAGAAAAUGCAAGAUAGAAUCUUGUAGGUCUUA
rnacentral:tRNA from 1 species